rnacentral:rRNA from 1 species
GUGAGGAAUUUUCCGCAAUGGGCGAAAGCCUGACGGAGCAAUGCCGCGUGAAGGAUGAAGGCCUAUGGGUUGUAAACUUCUUUUCUCAGAAAAGAAUUAUGACGGUAUCUGAGGAAUAAGCAUCGGCUAACUCUGUGCCAGCAGCCGCGGUAAGACAGAGGAUGCAAGCGUUAUCCGGAAUGAUUGGGCGUAAAGCGUCUGUAGGUUGUUUAAAAAGUAUUCUGUCAAAGAUUAGGGCUUAACCUUAGAUAGGCAGAAUAAACUUUUAAGCUAGAGUUUGGUAGAGGCAGAGGGAAUUCCCGGUGGAGCGGUGAAAUGCGUAGAUAUCGGGAGGAACACCAAAGGCGAAGGCACUCUGCUGGGCCAAUACUAACACUGAGAGACGAAAGCGAGGGGAGCAAAUGGGAUUAGAUACCCCGGUAGUCC